rnacentral:rRNA from 1 species
GUUCUUCGGAACUAGAGACCGGCGCACGGGUGCGUAACGCGUAUGCAAUCUACCUUUUACAGAGGGAUAGCCCAGAGAAAUUUGGAUUAAUACCUCAUAGUAUAUAGCCCUGGCAUCAGGAUUAUAUUAAAGUCACAACGGUAAAAGAUGAGCAUGCGUCCCAUUAGCUAGUUGGUAAGGUAACGGCUUACCAAGGCUACGAUGGGUAGGGGUCCUGAGAGGGAGAUCCCCCACACUGGUACUGAGACACGGACCAGACUCCUACGGGAGGCAGCAGUGAGGAAUAUUGGACAAUGGGCGCAAGCCUGAUCCAGCCAUGCCGCGUGCAGGAUGACGGUCCUAUGGAUUGUAAACUGCUUUUAUACGAGAAGAAACACUCCUUCGUGAAGGAGCUUGACGGUAUCGUAAGAAUAAGGAUCGGCUAACUCCGUGCCAGCAGCCGCGGUAAUACGGAGGAUCCAAGCGUUAUCCGGAAUCAUUGGGUUUAAAGGGUCCGUAGGCGGUUUAAUAAGUCAGUGGUGAAAGCCCAUCGCUCAACGGUGGAACGGCCAUUGAUACUGUUAGACUUGAAUUAUUAGGAAGUAACUAGAAUAUGUAGUGUAGCGGUGAAAUGCUUAGAGAUUACAUGGAAUACCAAUUGCGAAGGCAGGUUACUACUAAUUGAUUGACGCUGAUGGACGAAAGCGUGGGUAGCGAACAGGAUUAGAUACCCUGGUAGUCCACGCCGUAAACGAUGGAUACU